CCACUCCUCCCUCCUCUCCAAAGGGCCGCUCCUGUGCAGGAGUCAAGGCAGACGGGCCUCCAGGUCCUGCCUCUGGAUUGGCAGUGCUGAGGAAACACCGUUAGCUCUUAAGUAUGCUGGGAAAUGUCUCUGGUGGCUUCCCUGGUGGUGCAGUGGUUAAGAAUCUGUCUGCCAAUGCAGGGGACACGGGUUCGAGCCCUGGUCUGGGAAGACACUACAUCCCGCGGAGCAGCUCAGUGCACCAAAACUACCCAGCCUGCGCUCUAGAGCCCACAAGCCCCAACUACUGAACCUGCGUGCCACAACUACUGAAGCCCGCAUGCCUACAGCCCAUGCUCUGCAACAAGAGAAGCCACUGCAAUAAGCCCGCGCACCUCAAUGAAGAGUAGCCCCCGCUCCACGGAACUAGAUAAAGCCCGCACGCAGCAACAAAGACCUAACGCAGCCCCCAAUU